rnacentral:rRNA from 1 species
CCCUUAGAUGUCCUGGGCCGCACGCGCGCUACACUGAUGCAUGCAACGAGUUUAUAACCUUGGCCUGAAAGGUCUGGGUAAUCUUUUGAACGAGCAUCGUGAUAGGGAUAGAUUAUUGCAAUUGUUAAUCUUGAACGAGGAAUUCCUAGUAAACGCGAGUCAUCAGCUCGCAUUGAUUACGUCCCUGCCCUUUGUACACACCGCCCGUCGCGCCUACCGAUUGAAUGGUUCGGUGAAGAUCUCGGACUUCGAUAUUUAUUCUUUAUUGAGUUUAUAUUGUGGGAAGUUAUCUAAACCUCAUCAUUUAGAGGAAGGUGAAGUCGUAACA